rnacentral:rRNA from 1 species
CGCACGAGUGGCAACCGAUAUUAUUGGGCCUAAAGCGUUCGUAGCUGGCCUUGUAAAUCCUCUGUGAAAUCGUUUUGCUUAACAUAACGGCGCGCAGGGGACACUGCUUGGCUUGGGACCGGGAGAGGUAGGGGGUAUUUCUUGGGGAGCGGUAAAAUGUUAUAAUCCAAGAAGGACCACCUGUGGCGAAGGCGCCCUACUAGAACGGAUCCGACAGUGAGGAACGAAAGCCAGGGGAGCAAAAUGGAUUAGAUACCCACGUAGUCCUGGCCGUAAACGCUGUGAGCUAGGUGUUGCAUAUUCUAUAUGAAUGUGCAGUGUCGGAGUGAAGAUGUUAAGCUCACCGCCUGGGAAGUACNGUCGCAAGACUGAAACUUAAAGGAAUUGGCGGGGGAGCACCACAAGGGUGCGGCGUGCGGUUUAAUCCAACUCAACGCGGAGAAUCUCACCAUGGGCGACCGCAGGAUGAAAGUCCAGCUAAUGACUUUACUANACAACCCAAAAGUGGUGCAUNGCCGUCCUCACUCCUGCC